GCAAACCGGAAGAGAUUCCGGGACGCAAAGCCACGGGUCCUAACCCUUUGUGGAAGGAUGGCCGGGUU
rnacentral:ncRNA from 1 species